AUGUUAACCCCAUGCAUGCAAUUGGUUGUUCUAUGGAUUACUGUUCCUACACGGCCUCCAUGUGGCCUCCCUUCCCCCGCUUCUUACACUUCUCCAACAAAUUACAACCGGCUGGACAUUGAGCGGUCAGAUGGUAGGACAGCGCAUGUCCAUGUCCACCGUUUGAUCUUGGCUCGACCAUGGGCAUCAAGUCCAAUCUGCCAAGCUGCAGUGGAAUCCGCUUCCGGCGUUGUUCUUGAUUGGUUUUCUUGCCCUGCCAUCGGAAGGAUACUAUUUGGCUAUCCGAGUGAACCCGUUUGUGUUUUUCUGAUUGGAAUUGUUUCUUUGAAUAUAAUUGAACAAUCGAAAUAG
rnacentral:rRNA from 1 species